GGUCCUAAGGUAGCGAAAUUCCUUGUCGGGUAAGUUCCGACCCGCACGAAUGGCGUAACGAUGGCCACACUGUCUCCUCCUGAGACUCAGCGAAGUUGAAGUGUUUGUGAAGAUGCAAUCUCCCCGCUGCUAGACGGAAAGACCCCGUGAACCUUUACUGUAGCUUUGCAUUGGACUUUGAACAGACUUGUGUAGGAUAGGUGGGAGGCUAUGAAGUGGGAACGCUAGUUCUCAUGGAGCCGUCCUUGAAAUACCACCCUGGUGUGUUUGAGGUUCUAACCUUGGUCCGUGAUCCGGAUUGGGGACAGUGCAUGGUAGGCAGUUUGACUGGGGCGGUCUCCUCCCAAAGUGUAACGGAGGAGUUCGAAGGUUACCUAGGUACGGUCGGAAAUCGUGCUGAUAGUGCAAUGGCAAAAGGUAGCUUAACUGCGAGACCGACAAGUCGAGCAGGUGCGAAAGCAGGACAUAGUGAUCCGGUGGUUCUGAAUGGAAGGGCCAUCGCUCAACGGAUAAAAGGUACUCCGGGGAUAACAGGCUGAUACCGCCCAAGAGUUCACAUCGACGGCGGUGUUUGGCACCUCGAUGUCGGCUCAUCACAUCCUGGGGCUGUAGCCGGUCCCAAGGGUAUGGCUGUUCGCCAUUUAAAGAGGUACGUGAGCUGGGUUUAAAACGUCGUGAGACAGUUUGGUCCCUAUCUGCAGUGGGCGUUGGAAGUUUGACGGGGGCUGCUCCUAGUACGAGAGGACCGGAGUGGACGCACCUCUGGUGUACCGGUUGUGACGCCAGUCGCAUUGCCGGGUAGCUAAGUGCGGAAGAGAUAACCGCUGAAAGCAUCUAAGCGGGAAACUCGCCUGAAGAUGAGACUUCCCUGAGGGCUUGACCCUCCUGAAGAGUCGUUCGAGACCAGGACGUUGAUAGGUCGGGUGUGGAAGCGCUGUGAGGCGUUAAGCUAACCGAUACUAAUUGCUCGUGAGGCUUGAUCCU
rnacentral:rRNA from 1 species